rnacentral:rRNA from 2 species
UUGCAUCAUGAUUUACAUUUGAGUGAGUGGCGAACUGGUGAGUAACACGUGGGAAACCUGCCCAGAAGCGGGGGAUAACACCUGGAAACAGAUGCUAAUACCGCAUAACAACUUGGACCGCAUGGUCCGAGUUUGAAAGAUGGCUUCGGCUAUCACUUUUGGAUGGUCCCGCGGCGUAUUAGCUAGAUGGUGAGGUAACGGCUCACCAUGGCAAUGAUACGUAGCCGACCUGAGAGGGUAAUCGGCCACAUUGGGACUGAGACACGGCCCAAACUCCUACGGGAGGCAGCAGUAGGGAAUCUUCCACAAUGGACGAAAGUCUGAUGGAGCAACGCCGCGUGAGUGAAGAAGGGUUUCGGCUCGUAAAACUCUGUUGUUAAAGAAGAACAUAUCUGAGAGUAACUGUUCAGGUAUUGACGGUAUUUAACCAGAAAGCCACGGCUAACUACGUGCCAGCAGCCGCGGUAAUACGUAGGUGGCAAGCGUUGUCCGGAUUUAUUGGGCGUAAAGCGAGCGCAGGCGGUUUUUUAAGUCUGAUGUGAAAGCCUUCGGCUCAACCGAAGAAGUGCAUCGGAAACUGGGAAACUUGAGUGCAGAAGAGGACAGUGGAACUCC